CUAACAGUUCAACCGUGUACUUUUCUUAAUUCCCGUUCUAGUGCCCAAAAAGACACGAUAUUGAGAGCCUGAGAGAAUAGCAACAGUAAACUAACGGCGAGCACAGGAGCGUCACAAUUGGAAUUGAAGCUACUGGCCACAAAUACAAGUCGCUUCGAGGCCUGAAGAGCGGUGACAAGAUCGGAAAUCCACGGCUCUGCUCUGUGGAGCGUGAAGAAGAAGUGGAAGCAUCCAAGGGUGGAAAUUCGAGUCCUCUGAAGUUCGUAAUCUCCCCCGAACAAAUGCGUCAAUAGCGCGAUUCUAAAGGCUCCGCUGCCGCUGACGAACUUUCCAGCGCCGACGACGUCGUUGACGAGUUAAAGAAGCUCCGACGCGCCGCCAGCAAGCUCCACCGCAAGGCUAGGCUCUGUUCCGAGGCUUUGCAUCGGAACGGAGUUCAACUCCGGUAGCUCCGACCGG
rnacentral:lncRNA from 1 species